GGUUAGGAUCCGACCCGGAGUAGUGGAUCUCGGAUUCUGGUGAAGGAGAAUUGUACAGAUGGAAGUUGAUGGACUUUACUCUGUCUAUGAGCGAAGGAGGUCUGCCAAACCGUGCCUGAUUUUGGUCAUGACCCGACGACCCGUAACCAUCUUGAUGUUGGUUGUGUUUUCUUGAACAGGAACUGAACCGGUUGGUGAUGAAAAUGGUGGCGAUCGUGAAAUUGAGGAGGAGGAAGAGAGUCGUCGGAGUUAACCAGUUGGUCAAGCUUGUGAGUAGCUCCAUUGUUGUUUUUGUGUGUCGUAGAGUGAAGAAUGAAGUAGUGGAUAAUAUUUAUAUUAGAGAUAUUUUUUGUCUUGGUUAAUCAUUAAUGACCCUUGCGUUAGAUUUGUUGUAUGGGUCUUUGUUUUUU
rnacentral:lncRNA from 1 species